rnacentral:rRNA from 1 species
UACGUAGGGUGCGAGCGUUAAUCGGAAUUACUGGGCGUAAAGGGUGCGCAGGCGGUUCUGCAAGUCAGGCGUGAAAUCCCCGGGCUUAACCUGGGAAUGGCGCUUGAAACUACGGGACUGGAGUAUGGCAGAGGGAGGUGGAAUUCCACGUGUAGCGGUGAAAUGCGUAGAGAUGUGGAGGAACACCGAUGGCGAAGGCAGCCUCCUGGGCCAAUACUGACGCUCAUGCACGAAAGCGUGGGGAGCGAACCGG